rnacentral:rRNA from 1 species
GACGAACGCUGGCGGCGUGCUUAACACAUGCAAGUCGAACGCUGAAGCUUGGUGCUUGCACUGGGUGGAUGAGUGGCGAACGGGUGAGUAAUACGUGAGUAACCUGCUCUUGACUCUGGGAUAAGCCUAGGAAACUGGGUCUAAUACUGGAUACGACCUGUCACCGCAUGGUGGUGUGUGGAAAGGGUUUUUCUGGUUUUGGAUGGGCUCACGGCCUAUCAGCUUGUUGGUGGGGUAAUGGCUCACCAAGGCGACGACGGGUAGCCGGCCUGCGAGGGUGACCGGCCACACUGGGCCUGAGACACGGCCCAGACUCCUACGGGAGGCAGGAGUGGGGAGUAGUGCCCAAUGGGCGGAAGCCUAAUGCAGCGACGCCGCGUGAGGGAUGACGGCCUUCGGGUUGUGAACCUCUUUCAGCACAGAAGAAGCGAAAGUGACGGUACGUGCAGAAGAAGCGCCGGCUAACUACGUG